ACGCUCGACACCUACGGGGGCAGCAGUGGGGAAUAUUGCACAAUGGGGGAAACCCUGAUGCAGCAACGCCGCGUGAAGGAAGACGGUUUUCGGAUUGUAAACUUCUGUUCUUAGUGAAGAUAGUGACGGUAGCUAAGGAGCAAGCCACGGCUAACUACGUACCAGCAGCCGCGGUAAUCUGAGCGGGCUGGCAAGGC
rnacentral:rRNA from 1 species